GACGAACGCUGGCGGCGUGCUUAACACAUGCAAGUCGAACGGAAAGGCCCUGCUUUUGUGGGGUGCUCGAGUGGCGAACGGGUGAGUAACACGUGAGUAACCUGCCCUUGACUUUGGGAUAACUUCAGGAAACUGGGGCUAAUACCGGAUAGGAGCUCCUGCUGCAUGGUGGGGGUUGGAAAGUUUCGGCGGUUGGGGAUGGACUCGCGGCUUAUCAGCUUGUUGGUGGGGUAGUGGCUUACCAAGGAUUUGACGGGUAGCCGGCCUGGGAGGGUGACCGGCGUCAUUGGGACUAAGAUAGGGACCAGAGGGCUACGGGAGGCAGCAGUGGGGAAUAUUGCACAAUGGGCGGAAGCCUGAUGCAGCAGCGCCGCGUGCGGGAUGACGGCCUUCGGGUUGUAAACCGCUUUCGCCUGUGACGAAGCGUGAGUGACGGUAAUGGGUAAAGAAGCACCGGCUAACUACGUG
rnacentral:rRNA from 1 species